CACUAAGACACGAACACUUUGAGAAACACUACAAUGGACCGGAGGAUUGGGAUAAGGUUCUAAACAACCCAAGCAAUGAUGUUAAGAAGGAGGAGUGGAAGCAGAUCUGUCAGUUAUUUACAAGUCCACAAUUUAUUGCGCGCUUCAUAAAGAAUAAGGAAAAUCGGAAGAAACAAAAGUAUUCUACAACGCAUGGUACAAAAUCGUUGGCAGCCGUCCGUUUUGAAAAAAACGAACCCGGACCUCAUUGAGUCAUGGAAGGAUUAUCAUUGGAAGAAAUCAACAAAUGAUUUCGUGAACGAUGAUGCUCGCCAAGAUUAUGAAAAACUGAAGGCUGAUUUUGAGUUACAAACUCAGCAAACAUCCACUGAUGCUUCUAAUAAUGAUAGUCCGUCAUCAGUUGAUUAGGUGGAGGUGCUACAAAAAGUAUUAGGCCAAAGGCGUGGACAUGUGCGAGGAGUGGGCCGCAAAUUGAAGGGGUCGG